rnacentral:misc_RNA from 1 species
GAUGAAGAACGCAGUGAAAUGCGAUACGUAGUGUGAAUUGCAGAAUUCAGUGAAUCAUCGAAUCUUUGAACGCACAUUGCACCUCUCGGUAUUCCGGGAGGUAUGCCUGUUCGAGCGUCAUUUGUACCCUCAAGCUCUGCUUGGUGUUGGGUGUUUGUUCCGCCUCUGUGUGUGAACUCGCCUCAAAACAAUUGGCAGCCGGCGUACUUGUUUCGGAGCGCAGCACAUUUUGCGAUCCAGAUCAACGUACAGCGGCAUCCAAGAAGCCUUAUUUAACGCUCUUGACCUCGGAUCAGGUAGGGAUACCCGCUGAACUUAAGCAUAUCAAUAAGCGGGGA